GGUCUCUACCUCCACGAGAGUCUGCAUUCAGAGGUGAAACCCAGCGCUGAGGGAGAGGUCAGCACCUUCCAGGACAGUGAUACCUCCGUGAUGGGAUCCCCUCUGUCUCCCUCUAACCUCCCGCUCUAAUCAGGCCCCGUGGAGGACUGCAAAUGGAGUUCUGGAUUGUUCUGCCGCCCUCGCUUCGGCGAGCGGCCGACUCUCCAGAUUAGCGUGAGGAAGAUACGAGCCUCCUCUUCACAGGUCAAGAGCUCAGCCACUCAGAGGUCACACAUCAGUCAAGCACACCAGGGGAUCUGUGGGGCUGAGCAGCUCCAACACAAGUGUGACACAUGUUUGCCUCCCCGUCUCUGUGCUCACUCAAACAGACGGACAGGCGGACGCGGGGAGGAGGGACAAGAUGGCUGCCGGGCUCAGACUGCUCGCCGAUUCAUCGUGAAAACCACGGCGACAGGAAUCAAUACUAUAUAUAUCCUCUCCAUUAGCCUGAUUAAAAAGAGUGAUGGAGGACGGAGGGGAGCGGAACAACUUUACUCCAUGGAUUAUACAGGGUUAAAGGCUGGGGCUAUAAAAGUGCAGAUUAAGAAGAGGAGAGGAGGACUG